CUGUUUCCCUAGAGAACCCUGACUAAUACAAUCAUGAAGGUGGUUUUCCCAGGAUGAGGCUUACUCAUUGCACUCUGGAUGUACAAACCCUUGCGUUUUCACCAAAUGUAGGAAACUUGACUGCAUAAUUGGUGGUCGUGGGGGACUGCAUUUGUGCUUUCCCUUG
rnacentral:snRNA from 1 species